GUAAAUGACAGCCAACAUCUUAAUCAACUGGAAAGGCAGGAAAGCAUUGCAUGUGUAGUGUGCCUGUUCUCGGCCUGCAGACUCUAAAUGUAACUUGUUUGUUUUCAUACAGGAUUAUUUCCGCCUUUUAUUUUUGCAUGAGGUUCAAGCCCCAAAGCUAAAUACGAGGCUGUAGGCUCUUAAACAAACCUUUUAGAUCCUUGCCUUCUCAUGAAGGACUCAUGAAGGAUGCUGUUUCCAUCGCUGAUUGAUUUUGGCACCAAUCUCAGAAAGUCAGAAGCUAUGAGAAACAACUGCCGAACGUCCCAACAGGUUACCAAUUCCGGAAGAGUCCCAAAUCUGUUAUCUUGGGAUUGGGAGCCCAUAUUAGGAAAGAGGAUGGCAUCGUCGUUGUAACAUUCAAGAGACGACGAGGAAUGUUUGCCUUUGUGUUCUUCAUGCCGGGGGCUGCAGUCCACACUUUUUUGAUUGGCAAUUGAUCGUGACCCAGCUUCCUUAAAAUGGCUGUCGUCAAUGAAGAAUUAGCCCCGUGUUGCUGCCAGGAGACGGGGACAUAUUUCAUCCGGAAAACCGCAUCAGCAAUUUGAACCUGUUCCAGUCAAGUUCCACGACGAGAAGCAACGCCUAUGAAAGGUGUAAUCGCUGGUAUCGGAAAUGGAUUUAUAUUCGCGUUCUGAAAGUAAAAAAUAAUCUGGUGGGCGAUUUUAUUCCAGUUGAUUAUCCAAUCAAUUUGUUGAUUGCUGUGGCUUGGUUCAUAGCAACUCGAAGGCCGUCGGGCGUCCCCGUGUAUAGUUGCACCACUGGAUAUCGAAACUCACUGACGUGGGGUAUGCUAAAACAUUGGGUCUUGCAAUCUUGGUUGAAAUUCCCUACAAAAGAUAUGCUGUGGUAUCCUAGCGUUCAUUACAUAACUAACAAUCUUUCGCUCAAAAUCAACCAGACGUUCACUAUCUGCCAGCCUACUUGAUGGACUUGUUUAUGCUAGCGACGGGCAAACGUGCAAAAUGGGUCCGGUAAGGUGCAGAAAAUUUCAACAAAAACGAAGCUUUGCAAUCCAUCCGUUCCGACGAUUCCGUACAGUCAAACGUGGUAAUCGUGAGGGAAUCUUUUGGCUCUCGGUAGGUGGCUAAAAUGGUUUGUCCCCCAGCCACCAGGUGACGCGAGUGUCUUAGUGAGGAGGGAGGACGAAAUAUUUGCCAUUUGUUUCCAAAACGCUGUCUGAAAGUGUAUUCUAAAUCAUAGUCCGAAUUCACUACGGAAUUGCGGUGUCGAUCUAAAUUUUCAGCCAUGAAAUGGCAAUCUGGCGUAUAAUUUCACUUGGCCAAAUAAUGUGACGACGUGGGUGGAAAAUGCUGUCCAAUGUCGGCCAUUGUUAGCUGUACCUAUACGGCUGUCGGCUGCACGUCUCAUCUCGUGCAGAAACACUUCGGAGCUAGUAAAGUUUUAUUGGUUAAUUUUCAGGUUGGAGAAGGAGAUCCCUUUGCUCAACUAUUGCAGAAAUUGUGAACACGACAAAGUCUGAGCUUCUUGGCUGUUCAUCAACAUGGUUUUGUUGCAACCAGCUGGUGAAAGAUGUGAUCGAGUCAAGUUGAGCUGCAGGUGCUGCAUGCAGUUUAUCAAGCUGGUGUUAUCCCAAGUGUCACUCCAGGAAAACUUCUGGAAUUGGCUGGAGAUGCUGCCUUCUUUUGUAAUAGCAAAUUGGGUCGUCGUCGUAUGGAACAUCAUCAUUUUGCUGUUGUAUCGGGGUGAUUGGCUGGAGAGAACAAUACUGGCAAGGAAACAUGGAUGAACAACUGCAGUGCACUGUCACCAAGUGCAUUCUUCGUCGUAUUAUCAGUACGCAAUCGGUGUCGUGCUGUUGCCGUUUGUCGUAUCGUUGAAGGUUGGGUCGAUCACUGGCGUACCCAUAUCUCCUGGGUAUGGCGGAUACCAAAGCACCACGCCGUCACCUUGCUACACAACGACAACAUUCGCACCGACCGGUUACUACACUGAGGGCUACAAUUACUACACCAUCAAGGCUCCAGAGUAUUAAACCGCAGCUAAUGCUGUCCCAAGCUCAAUCACCAAAGAUCCCGAGUACUACACCGAGGCUCCCAAGUACUACACCGAGGCUCUAAGUGCUACACCACCAAGUCAUCGGAGUACUACACGUAUGUUGCCCCAGCUUAUACACCGAGGCUCCCAAGUAUUACUUAGUUCCUAGCUACUACACCGAAGCUCCAACUUUAUUACACCACCAAAGCGGCUGAAUACUACACCGAGCCG